CCUACGGGAGGCUGCAGUGGGGAAUAUUGCACAAUGGGGGAAACCCUGAUGCAGCAACGCCGCGUGAGGGAGGACGGCCCUACGGGUUGUAAACCUCUUUUGCCGGGGAGCAACGGGCGUCACGUGUGGCGCCACUGAGAGUACCCGGAGAAAAAGCAUCGGCUAACUCCGUGCCAGCAGCCGCGGUAAUACGGAGGAUGCGAGCGUUAUCCGGAUUUAUUGGGUUUAAAGGGUGCGUAGGCGGAUCGUUAAGUCAGUGGUCAAAUUGAGGGGCUCAACCCCUUCCCGCCAUUGAAACUGGCGCUCUUGAGUGGAAGAGAAGUAUGCGGAAUGCGUGGUGUAGCGGUGAAAUGCAUAGAUAUCACGCAGAACCCCGAUUGCGAAGGCAGCAUGCCGGCUUCCGACUGACGCUGAAGCACGAAAGCGUGGGGAUCGAACAGGAUUAGAUACCCCUGUAGUC
rnacentral:rRNA from 1 species